CCUACGGGAGGCUGCAGUGAGGAAUAUUGGUCAAUGGACGAAAGUCUGAACCAGCCAAGUCGCGUGAAGGAUGACUGCCCUAUGGGUUGUAAACUGCUUUUGUAAGAGGGUAAAACCAGACACGUGUACCUGUUUGAAUGUACCUUAUGAAUAAGGAUCGGCUAACUCCGUGCCAGCAGCCGCGGUAAUACGGAGGAUCCGAGCGUUAUCCGGAUUUAUUGGGUUUAAAGGGAGCGUAGAUGGUCUGUUAAGUCAGUUGUGAAAGUUCGCGGCUCAACCGUAAAAUUGCAUUUGAUACUGGCAGUCUUGAGUGUAGUUGAGGUAGGCGGAAUGUGUGGUGUAGCGGUGAAAUGCUUAGAUAUCACGAAGAACCCCGAUUGCGAAGGCAGCUUACUAAACUGCGACUGACGUUGAGGCACGAAAGCGUGGGUAGCAAACAGGAUUAGAUACCCGGGUAGUC
rnacentral:rRNA from 1 species